rnacentral:rRNA from 1 species
UACAUGGGGUGCAAACGUUGCUCGGAAUUAUUGGGCGUAAAGCGCACGUAGGUGGUCUGUUAUGUCAGAUGUGAAAGCCCUCGGCUUAACUGAGGAAGUGCACCUGAAACUGGCAGGCUUGAGUACGAAAGAGGGUCGCGGAAUUCCCGGUGUAGAGGUGAAAUGCGUAGAGAUCGGGAGGAAGGCCGGUGGCGAAGGCGGCGCUCUGGAACAUUUCUGACGCUGAGGCUCGAAAGCGUGGGGAGCAAACAGG